rnacentral:rRNA from 1 species
GACGAACGCUGGCGGCGUGCCUAAUACAUGCAAGUUGAGCGCUGAAGGUUGGUACUUGUCCCGACUGGAUGAGCAGCGAACGGGUGAGUAACGCGUGGGGAAUCUGCCUUUGGGCGGGGGACAACAUUUGGAAACGAAUGCUAAUACCGCAUAAAAACUUUAAACACAAGUUUUAAGUUUGAAAGAUGCAAUUGCAUCACUCAAAGAUGAUCCCGCGUUGUAUUAGCUAGUUGGUGAGGUAAAGGCUCACCAAGGCGAUGAUACAUAGCCGACCUGAGAGGGUGAUCGGCCACAUUGGGACUGAGACACGGCCCAAACUCCUACGGGAGGCAGCAGUAGGGAAUCUUCGGCAAUGGACGAAAGUCUGACCGAGCAACGCCGCGUGAGUGAAGAAGGUUUUCGGAUCGUAAAACUCUGUUGGUAGAGAAGAACGUUGGUGAGAGUGGAAAGCUCAUCAAGUGACGGUAACUACCCAGAAAGGGACGGCUAACUACGUG